AAGCUCGUAGUUGAAUUUCGGGGUUCUACCGUUGGUCGGGCAAUAGUCUGUACCGGCGUGUAGAAUUUCUACCUUCUGGGGAACUAUCAUGUUAUUUAUUUAGCGUGGUAGGAAACCAGGACCUUUACCUUGAAAAAAUUAGAGUGUUCAAAGCAGGCUUACGUCUGAAUACAUUAGCAUGGAAUAAUAAAAUAGGACGGUGGUCCUGUUUUGUUGGUUUCUGAAUCACCGUAAUGAUUAAUAGGGAUAGUUGGG
rnacentral:rRNA from 1 species